rnacentral:tRNA from 1 species
GGAGAGAUGGCAGAGCGGUCUAAUGCGGCGGUCUUGAAAACCGUUGACUGUCACAGGUCCGGGGGUUCGAAUCCCUCUCUCUCCGCCA